rnacentral:ncRNA from 1 species
AAUAAAGUUGUGAUUAGAAAAAGUAGUAAUUAGCCAACGCGAAGCGAGUCCGGGAUGAUGGGAACCGGAUCGGUGGGGAUUACGAACACACGUCUAUGAACUGACAGCUGAAUCAAGUAGGCUGCUCCGCAUGUUUAGCGUUAUCAGGGUUACCGUAACUGUUCUCGGUGGGAUUAGACCGACGACUAGUUAUUGGCAACGUAAGGUCGUCACUGUGAGGUGGCGGCAAAUUGAGGUGGAACCGCGAUUAAAUCGUCCUCGUA